rnacentral:rRNA from 1 species
UACAGAGGGGGCAAGCGUUAUUCGGAAUUAUUGGGCGUAAAGGGCGCGUAGGCGGCCGGACAAGUGAAAGGUGAAAUCCCCGAGCUCAACUCGGGAACUGCCCUCCAAACUGUUUGGCUUGAGUCCGGGAGAGGUGAGUGGAAUUCCCAGUGUAGCGGUGAAAUGCGUAGAUAUUGGGAGGAACACCAGUGGCGAAGGCGGCUCACUGGACCGGAACUGACGCUGAGGCGCGAAAGCGUGGGUAGCAAACAGG